UACGGAGGGGGCUAGCGUUGUUCGGAAUUACUGGGCGUAAAGCGCACGUAGGCGGCUUUGCAAGUUAGAGGUGAAAGCCCGGGGCUCAACUCCGGAAUUGCCUUUAAAACUGCAUCGCUAGAAUUGUGGAGAGGUAAGUGGAAUUCCGAGUGUAGAGGUGAAAUUCGUAGAUAUUCGGAAGAACACCAGUGGCGAAGGCGACUUACUGGACACAUAUUGACGCUGAGGUGCGAAAGCGUGGGGAGCAACAGGG
rnacentral:rRNA from 1 species